GUGGGGAAUAUUGCGCAAUGGGGGGAACCCUGACGCAGCAACGCCGCGUGAAGGAAGAAGGCUUUCGGGUCGUAAACUUUUGUCUGGAGGGACGAUAGUGACGGUACCUCCGGAGGAAGCCACGGCUAACUACGUGCCAGCAGCCGCGGUAAUACGUAGGUGGCGAGCGUUGUCCGGAAUUACUGGGUGUAAAGGGCGCGUAGACGGGCAUGUAAGUCAGAUGUGAAAUACCGGGGCUCAACUCCGGGGCUGCAUUUGAAACUGCAAGUCUUGAGUGCAGGAGAGGGAAGCGGAAUUCCUAGUGUAGCGGUGAAAUGCGUAGAUAUUAGGAGGAACACCAGUGGCGAAGGCGGCUUUCUGGACUGUAACUGACGUUGAGGCGCGAAAGCGUGGGUAGCAAACAGGAUUAGAAACCCUAGUAGUCC
rnacentral:rRNA from 1 species